rnacentral:rRNA from 1 species
UGGGGAAUAUUGCACAAUGGGCGCAAGCCUGAUGCAGCCAUGCCGCGUGUAUGAAGAAGGCCUUCGGGUUGUAAAGUACUUUCAGUCGGGAGGAAGGUGGUAAGGUUAAUAACCUUAUCAAUUGACGUUACCGACAGAAGAAGCACCGGCUAACUCCGUGCCAGCAGCCGCGGUAAUACGGAGGGUGAAAGCGUUAAUCGGAAUUACUGGGCGUAAAGCGCACGCAGGCGGUUGAUUGAGUCAGAUGUGAAAUCCCCGGGCUUAACCCGGGAAUUGCAUCUGAUACUGGUCAGCUAGAGUCUUGUAGAGGGGGGUAGAAUUCCAUGUGUAGCGGUGAAAUGCGUAGAGAUGUGGAGGAAUACCGGUGGCGAAGGCGGCCCCCUGGACAAAGACUGACGCUCAGGUGCGAAAGCGUGGGGAGCAAACAGG